GUAGGGUGCAAGCGUUAAUCGGAAUUACUGGGGCGUAAAGCGUGCGCAGGCGGUUGUGCAAGACAGAUGUGAAAUCCCCCGGGGCUCAACCUGGGGAAUUGCAUUUGUGACUGCACGGCUAGAGUGUGUCAGAGGGGGGUAGAAUUCCACGUGUAGCAGUGAAAUGCGUAGAGAUGUGGAGGAAUACCGAUGGCGAAGGCAGCCCCCUGGGAUAACACUGACGCUCAUGCACGAAAGCGUGGGGAGCAAACAGGAUUAGAUACCCUGGUAGUCCACGCCCUAAACGAUGUCAACUAGUUGUCGGGUCUUAAUUGACUUGGUAACGCAGCUAACGCGUGAAGUUGACCGCCUGGGGAGUACGGUCGCAAGAUUA
rnacentral:rRNA from 1 species